rnacentral:rRNA from 1 species
AUUGAACGCUGGCGGCAGGCCUAACACAUGCAAGUCGAACGGUAGCACAGAGAGCUUGCUCUCGGGUGACGAGUGGCGGACGGGUGAGUAAUGUCUGGGAAACUGCCCGAUGGAGGGGGAUAACUACUGGAAACGGUAGCUAAUACCGCAUAACGUCGCAAGACCAAAGUGGGGGACCUUCGGGCCUCACACCAUCGGAUGUGCCCAGAUGGGAUUAGCUAGUAGGUGGGGUAAUGGCUCACCUAGGCGACGAUCCCUAGCUGGUCUGAGAGGAUGACCAGCCACACUGGAACUGAGACACGGUCCAGACUCCUACGGGAGGCAGCAGUGGGGAAUAUUGCACAAUGGGCGCAAGCCUGAUGCAGCCAUGCCGCGUGUAUGAAGAAGGCCUUCGGGUUGUAAAGUACUUUCAGCGGGGAGGAAGGCGGUGAAGUUAAUAGCUUCACCGAUUGACGUUACCCGCAGAAGAAGCACCGGCUAACUCCGUGCCAGCCGCCGCGGUAAAAC